rnacentral:rRNA from 1 species
CCUACGGGGCGCAGCAGUGGGGAAUAUUGGACAAUGGGCGAAAGCCUGAUCCAGCCAUGCCGCGUGUGUGAAGAAGGCCUUCGGGUUGUAAAGCACUUUCAGUGGGGAAGAAAGCCUUGGGGCUAAUACCCUCGAGGAAGGACAUCACCCACAGAAGAAGCACCGGCUAACUCCGUGCCAGCAGCCGCGGUAAUACGGAGGGUGCGAGCGUUAAUCGGAAUUACUGGGCGUAAAGCGCGCGUAGGCGGUCUGAUAAGCCGGUUGUGAAAGCCCCGGGCUCAACCUGGGAACGGCAUCCGGAACUGUCAGGCUAGAGUGCAGGAGAGGAAGGUAGAAUUCCCGGUGUAGCGGUGAAAUGCGUAGAGAUCGGGAGGAAUACCAGUGGCGAAGGCGGCCUACUGGACUGACACUGACGCUGAGGUGCGAAAGCGUGGGUAGCAAACAGGAUUAGAUACCCGAGUAGUC